UACGAAGGGGGCUAGCGUUGUUCGGAAUUACUGGGCGUAAAGGGCGCGUAGGCGGUGUGUCAAGUCAGGCGUGAAAGCCCCGGGCUCAACCUGGGAACAGCGCUUGAGACUGGCACGCUCGAGUUCGGGAGAGGAUGGUGGAAUUCCCAGUGUAGAGGUGAAAUUCGUAGAUAUUGGGAAGAACACCGAUGGCGAAGGCAGCCAUCUGGACCGACACUGACGCUGAGGCGCGAAAGCGUGGGGAGCAAACGGG
rnacentral:rRNA from 1 species